rnacentral:lncRNA from 1 species
CGCAUAUGUCUGUCUCUGUGUGUGUAUGUGCGCGUGUGUGUGUGUGUGCGUGUGUGUGCAUGUAUGUCUGUGUGUCUAUGUGUGUGUCCCUGCCUCAGCCCAAUUCUCAGAUCAAUUAGAGAUUGCUCUUGAGUAGUGUCUCAUGUCUACACUUGAAGUGGAAGGAAGACAGAACAAUCAGAAAGCAUCAAACUUCUCUUUCCCAGACUGUCUACCUGUCUGCAAGGAACCUGAAACCGUUGCCUCUGAACUGAAAAGAAAAGGAGGUGGGGAGGAGGGGACAGCAGCAGAUAGGCUAUGUAGAGCAGGUCUCUUUUUAUGCCUGAGGGUGAUGAGGUGUCAUCCACGAAGAAAGAAACGGCAUUGUAUGUGCUGGCUAAGAAACCCAACACCAGGCACUAGCUCCAGGAAGUCAUCUUAAGGGACCCCCUGUAUUUUGUCAACAGACAAGCAGCUUUG